AAAAAGUUCUUUGGAAAAAAAAAAAAAAAAGUCCACAAAAACAAAAAGAGUGCAAAGAAUCUCGUACGGUGUGUUUAUUAGGAAAGUAGGCACAUUUUUCUGACCUACCGUUGCUGAGCAGCUUUUAUCUUCUAUAAACAGAUGAUAAAAGUGCACUGUUUGCAUACUUAGUUAGACGUAACUUCUGACUCCUGCAGCCGAGUAAGCUAUAGCACGGGUUCUCGAAGGGUUUCGGUCCGUACUCUAUCAGGACAGAUUUAUUUCAUGAACAUUAUGUAAUCGGUACAAUAAUAUCGUGUCUAUUCUAGUUGUUCCUGAACUUUCCACUCACACAAGACGUUCGGUCCAACAUUAUUUCGAGUUAUUGAGACCGGAUUCAACCCAUUCGAUUCAAGAAAACCGGGUACCUAUGCAAAGAAAUAAUAAUAAAUAGAAUAAUUUGAUAAUUGUGGAUGGCGAUUUCCACCACAGUAACUAAACUGAAAAAGCACAGACAGCUUCAUGGAUCAACGUUUUAGGAACCGCUGAUCUACAGGAUCUACAUGAUCAAAACGAAUCCAAAUAAUUGGAAUCAAUUUGACAAGUAAAUAGCUUCUUGUUUUUUUUUUUUUUAAUAAUUCUGCUAACGUACGCAGCUUAGUAUAGUACUUCCUGUAUAGUGAGCUUGUGAUCAUGGUUCCUGGGAUGAAGGCAAAGCUGAUUAGGGAUCAAUGAGGUUAUGAUCAUAAUUAAGGAGGUUAUGAUCAAAAUGAAGGAGUUGUGAUCAAGAGUCCACGACUGACAAAAUGCCAGUGUUCAGGACCCUAAAUAAAACCCAUUCGGAUCAAGCAGUGAAUGCACUCAAUAUACAAAAAAUAAACAAUGACAAGACAUACCUCUGAAACGACUUUUCUGGAUCCUGCAGUGGAAAAUGUGGCUUAAAUCCCAGUGUUUGUUGUGUGAUCGAUCAGCAGAAAGUUAACUAGCUAGUUAGUUGGUUAGUUACUGUCUAACCGCUGCAUUUCCUCGGCUUUAUUUCUCACAAACUUAAGCAGCUCCGCAAACACAAAUUAAGUCCCGUUACAUCGUGACGUCGGACAUUUCUCAUAUAUUCAUGCGUGAUUUAAAACUAGCUAUACAACCCACUUCUCUUAAAAUCAAUAUAAUAAAUGUGCACUCUAAAAGUGUGCGAACUGGCUACAGCGUAACCUCGCAUUCCUAAAUAGAUUUACUAACUCACUAAGGGGGGGAUGCACGCUAUAUAAACAAACGUCC
ensembl:lncRNA